rnacentral:rRNA from 1 species
GCAGUCGAACGCGAACGUUUCCUUCGGGGAACUAGUAGAGUGGCGCACGGGUGAGUAACGCGUAAGUAAUCUACCCUCGCAUUCGGGAUACCCACCGAAAGGUGUGCUAAUACCGGAUACGUCUCAUUUAAUAUCUUUUGAUGAGAGAAAGGUGGCCUCUUGAAUCAAAGCUACUGUGCGGGGAGGAGCUUGCGUACCAUUAGCUAGUUGGUAGGGUAACGGCCUACCAAGGCGAUGAUGGUUAGCGGGUCUGAGAGGAUGAUCCGCCACACUGGAACUGGAACACGGACCAGACUCCUACGGGAGGCAGCAGUGAGGAAUAUUGCGCAAUGGGGGCAACCCUGACGCAGCGACGCCGCGUGGAUGAUGAAGGCCUUCGGGUUGUAAAAUCCUGUCAGAUGGGAAGAAGCGUGUAUCACCCAAUACGUGAUACAUUUGACGGUACCAUCAAAGGAAGCACCGGCUAACUCCGUGCCAGCAGCCGCGGUAAUACGGAGGGUGCAAGCGUUGUUCGGAAUUACUGGGCGUAAAGCGCGCGUAGGCGGCUAAAUAAGUCAGAUGUGAAAGCCCGCGGCUCAACCGUGGAAGAGCAUUUGAAACUGUCUAGCUUGAGUACUGGAGGGGGUAGUGGAAUUCCCGGUGUAGAGGUGAAAUUCGUAGAUAUCGGGAGGAAUACCGGUGGCGAAGGCGACUACCUGGCCAGAUACUGACGCUGAGGUGCGAAAGCGUGGGGAGCAAAACAGGAUUAGAUACCCUGGUAGUCCACGCCGUAAACGAUGUCAACUAGGUGUUGGG